GGAGGGGCACCUGUGGGCUAUUGCCCUAUCCAUAUCCAUUUAAUUUCCUGGAAAAUUGAAACUGCUAGCGCGCACUCUCUUCUUCUAUCUUCUCCAUGGCAGCAAUCCUCUCCCUCUCUUCAAAUGCUCCUCUCAAAACCACACCCUCCCUUCGUCACCCUUCUUCCCCAUUCAAGGGAAACUUGGCAAAUUUGAAGUUUACGAUCGGCAACUUCAUUCCUCUUAAACUCAACUUCAAGAGCAAUUCAAAUGGAAGACCGUCACUAGUAGUUACCAAUCAGGCAGCUAGCGCUGCUGUUGCAUCUCCAACUCCUAAUGUGAGGUUCAGGUUGGACAAUUUAGGCCCACAACCGGGGUCGAGAAAGAAGGGAAAGAGAAAGGGAAGAGGUAUUUCUGCUGGACAAGGCAACAGUUGUGGGUUCGGUAUGAGAGGUCAGAAGUCGCGCUCCGGUCCUGGUGUUAGAAAAGGGUUUGAAGGAGGCCAGAUGCCCCUCUACCGCCGCAUCCCCAAAUUGCGAGGAAUUGCUGGAGGUAUGCAUGCGGGUCGUCCUAAAUAUGUCCCUGUUAAUUUAAAAGACAUAGAAGCAGCAGGAUUUCAAGAGGGCGAAGAGGUGUCAUUGGAGACUUUGAAAGAGAAGGGCUUGAUCAAUCCAUCUGGAAGAGAAAGGAAACUCCCUUUGAAGAUUCUAGGUGAUGGGGAGGUAAGUGUAAAGCUGAACUUGAAGGCUCGGGCCUUUUCAGAAUCGGCCAAGGAGAAGCUUGAGGCUUCUGGUUGCUCUCUUACUGUGUUACCUGGGCGUAAGAAGUGGUUGAAACCAUCAGUUAUUAAGAACCUUGCUCGAGCUGAGCAAUACUUUGCAAAGAAAAAGGCUGCAGCUGCUGCAUCUGAGCCAGUCUCUACUUGAACCAUUUUCAUUAAUUUUUAUGUGUUUAAGACGGAGUAAAAUAGCACGUGGAGAUAUAAAGCUGGGUGCUUAUUAUUAUUACUGUUAUUUUCUGUUUGUUAGAUUUCUUAGUUGUCUGUCCCAGAAUGUGAUUUCCUGUUUCUGUAUCUGCAAUUCAUUCGAAGCUUUUCUAUAAUUUUGUUUAAAUUUCGAGUACUCCCCUCCCUCUCCCAAACAUGGUAUAAGCAUUCAACGAGGCGCCCAAAAUGCUGUAGGGUUUCUGCA
rnacentral:misc_RNA from 1 species